CCUACGGGAGGCAGCAGUGGGGGAUAUUGCACAAUGGGGGGAACCCUGAUGCAGCGACGCCGCGUGGGUGAAGAAGCGCCUCGGCGCGUACAGCCCUGUCAGCAGGGAAGAAAAUGACGGUACCUGAAGAAGAAGCCCCGGCUAACUACGUGCCAGAAGCCGCGGUAAUACGUAGGGGGCAAGCGUUAUCCGGAUUUACUGGGUGUAAAGGGGGCGCAGACGGCGAUGCAAGCCAGGAGUGAAAGCCCGGGGCCCAACCCCGGGACUGCGCUUGGAACUGCGUGGCUAGAGUGCAGGAGGGGCAGGCGGAAUUCCUGGUGUAGCGGUGAAAUGCGUAGAUAUCAGGAGGAACACCGGUGGCGAAGGCGGCCUGCUGGACUGAAACUGACGUUGAGGCCCGAAAGCGUGGGGAGCAAACAGGAUUAGAUACCCGGGUAGUC
rnacentral:rRNA from 1 species